AGGCCCCGCCUCGCUCGCAGCCCGCCGCCGCCUGGGGCGUGAGGUCGCCAGCGUGAGCCCGCCGCGCGCGGAGGCCGGACCCGGGCGCGUCUCCUGGAGCCCGCGCGCUGUGAACCUCAGGGACCCACUGUUGGGGGCGGGGCGCGGGGGUGAAUUUUCCCGGGACAUUUCUAGUUUGACAGUGUGACACCGUGGGGGACACGGUGCCUUAUCCCUUUCUUGAAGGGACGGAGACCCCGUUUCGGCCCCCGCGUCCCUGACCUUCGGAGGAGUCUCUCUCUGCUAGGUCGUCCUUUGAUUAGUGACCAGAGCUGAGGAAACUGAGGCCGAAGGAGGGGCCCAGCUAUGCCCAGUGAAGCUUUUUUCCGGGAGGCGCCAGGUUCCCCCGUGGAGCCCGAAGAGCUGCGUGGAAAUGAGGGAACAGGGAAGCCUCAAUGCCACCCAUCGUGAAAAAUUACCAAUCCCUGCAGGAUCUCUCUCUGCCACUUUCGCUACAGAACGUGCAUUCAUUAUAGCAAGAGCCCAAGGAAGACAACGUAAGGAUACUGGGAAAGGGCAGCAGAAACUGCAUGGUCUGGGCACAGGAGACCUGUCUGUGAGUCCUGCUUCUCCAGCCUCCUGCUGGGAGGUCUUGGCUUUGUCAUUCCCCUCUCUGGGUCUUAGUGAUCCCUUCAAGGUCUCCCCACUAUGACAAGCCCAAAACAGUGUUUUGAGGAUGCUUACAGGAGGCAGUGGGCAAAAUGGCUUUGCGGAGCCAAUGCUUUUCCUGGGGUGAAGACUUGCUACAUGGGGGGGAGAGAUGGGGUGCUGUUCAAUUUUCUCUUUGAGGUUUUAAUUCAAUCUCUGCCUUAGGGGUGGAAACCCCCCUUCCAUCCUCUCAUCCCUUUCCCUUCCUCUUUUCUCGCUUGAGAGUCUUAAAUGUAAAGUGAGAGAGCACCAAAGAGGCACCAGAGGCCCCGCUGUUGGAGUCUUGGAGACAUCCCUCUGUUUUCUCUGGUGAGAUCUCUUCCAGGGUGGCUUUUGAGGUGGGAGUCCUCUUCCUUGCCUCCGAUUCUCUUUCCCAAGAAUGACAUCCUUGAUGAAGUCCACUUUUCCCCUUAAGGAGAAGCAAGCGGUAGGGGAGAAAGAGUCCUGUUACUGCUAGUUACAUGGUGACUUUGACCUUAGCUGGCCCAAACUUUUCCUUAUAGAGUUUGGAGAACUGAAGUCCAGACACACGAAGAGCUUUGCUCAAGAUCUCAGGGUGAGUUUGCAGCAAAGCCAAGGCUGGUCUUCCUUAGUCGCUCUCCCUUGCUAACGCGCCUUAGCCCUGCCAGCCUCAGCCAAAGCUGGGACCACCACUGGGCCUGGUCAGCAGGGGACACAGUGCAGUCCAAAGUGGAGUCUAUCAAUCCCAGGUCUGAGGCCUGAGAAACCUUUUUGGUCACACAGACAUUCCCUUUGCAGGAUUCUGUGUGCACCAAGAAAGCAUUCUCUGUUUCUUCCCUUCCCAGAAAUUAACUUUCUUCCCUUGUUUCCUAUAGUCAGAGCAAGCACCCACCUCCAUCCCCAGCAUUCAGAGCUUUGAAGUGGGACCUACCAGUUCACAGGUGGGUCUACUUCACUUCAAGGAAGCUUAGUAAGCCUUCCCAUGCCAAUCCUUAUUAAGACAGCCAAAAAUAAACAUUAAAGAAAGAGAAAGUCCUUGAAAAAA
ensembl:lncRNA